GAUGAAGAACGCAGCGAAAUGCGAUAAGUAAUUUGAAUUGCAGAAUUCAGUGAAUCAUCGAAUCUUUGAACGCACAUUGCGCCCCUUGGUAUUCCGAGGGGCAUGCCUGUUCGAGCGUCAUUAUAACCCCUCAAGCUCAGCUUGGUGUUGGGGCCUGCUGCACUGGCAGCCCUUAAAAUCAGUGGCGGCGCCAUCUGGCUCUAAGCGUAGUAAUUCUUCUCGCUAUGGAGUCCUGGUGGAUGCUUGCCAUCAACCCCCAAUUUUUCUAUGGUUGACCUCGGAUCAGGUAGGGAUACCCACUGAACUUAAGCAUAUCAAUAAGCGGAGGA
rnacentral:misc_RNA from 1 species